CAGAAUCAAAGGGAAAAGGAAGGCCUUACCUGGCGAUGGCGAUGGCGAAGGCGAAGGCGGAGACGAAGAUGAAAGUGGAGGUCUUGUCCGGAGAAUGUUCUUCUUUCCCCUGCUCUUGCGUUUUCUUUUUGUUAUGGGUUCUCUUUUUCUUUAGGUUUUUUUGUUCCCCUGUUUUCUGCUCUCCUUUUCUCCGUCCCCGUUCUUGCGAUCCCCUGCCUUUUAUAGGCUGUCAUGCUGCUUAUCUUCCCAGGAUCAUGAUAAGGUAUGGGGACAUUGUGUUUCAGUCGGAUUGAGGCACCGACAGUCCCGCCCCUGUUGGACUCUUUUCUAUAAGCAUGAGGGCGUGAAAAAUUUAUCCUUAUCUCCCCGGAGUUGUCAUCUUCACAAAGAUAAGCUUUGCAAAUUGAGUUCUGGUUGGACUGGGAUGCCGGUGUUUCACCAUUUCCGUUCCUUCUGUGCAGGUGAGCUUUCAGCGUCCAAGGAAGAGGAAGAGAAAUAGCACAUGCUUGAAACGGUGCGUUUCGGACUGGAAAUGACCAUUUCUCAAUUUGGUCCUCCAAGUUUCAACACUUUAAUCGGGCCCCUAGACAGAAUUUCGGUGCCUUUUACAAAAUGGUCCCUAGACCUUAAUCACUUGUAAUUUUGUCCUUAAUCAACUCAGAAAUUUAAUAUUGAUUCGAUUAUGCCCCUAAUUUCAUUAAUUAAACUAAUUCUAAGCUUAAUUAAAUCCUCAAACUUAUCCAUUCUUCAAUCAAACUCCC
rnacentral:lncRNA from 1 species